rnacentral:tRNA from 1 species
CCUGAUGGCUCAGAUGGGAGAGAAUCUGCCUGCAAUGCAGGAGAUCCAGGCUCAAUCCCUGGGUCAGGA